CCCUUAGAUGUUCUGGGCUGCACGCGCGCUACACUGAUGCACUCGACGAGUUUUCGACCUUGCCCGAUAGGGCUGGGUAAUCUUUUUAAAAUGCAUCGUGAUGGGGAUAGAUUAUUGCAAUUAUUAAUCUUCAACGAGGAAUUCCUAGUAAGCGCAAGUCAACAGCUUGCGUUGAUUACGUCCCUGCCCUUUGUACACACCGCCCGUCGCUACUACUGAUUGGAUGUUUAAGCGAGGUUCUCGAACUGCUAGCGACUUAGCUUCGGUGAGGUCGCAGUGUGGGAAGUGAACCUAGCUUUGGUGUCUAGAGGAAGUAAAAGUCGUAACA
rnacentral:rRNA from 1 species